UUACGGUCAAAUCACGCUGAAACACCGGUUCUCAUUCGAUCACCGAAGUUAAGCAUCGUAGAGCCAGGUCAGUACUUAGAUGGGGGACCGCUUGGGAACACCUGGUACUGUAAG
rnacentral:rRNA from 1 species